rnacentral:rRNA from 1 species
UACGAAGGGGGCUAGCGUUGCUCGGAAUCACUGGGCGUAAAGGGUGCGUAGGCGGGUCUUUAAGUCAGGGGUGAAAUCCUGGAGCUCAACUCCAGAACUGCCUUUGAUACUGAGGAUCUUGAGUACGGGAGAGGUGAGUGGAACUGCGAGUGUAGAGGUGAAAUUCGUAGAUAUCGGGAGGAACACCAGUGGCGAAGGCGACUUCCUGGCCUGUUCUUGACGCUGAGGCGCGAAAGCUAGGGUAGCAAACGGG